UACGUAGGUGGCAAGCGUUGUUCGGAAUUAUUGGGCGUAAAGGGCGCGUAGGCGGUCCUGUAAGUCGGGUGUGAAAGCCCCAGGCUUAACCUGGGAAGUGCACUCGAAACUGCAGGGCUUGAGUAUGGAAGAGGGUCUCGGAAUUCCCGGUGUAGAGGUGAAAUUCGUAGAUAUCGGGAGGAACACCAGUGGCGAAGGCGGAGACCUGGGCCAAUACUGACGCUGAGGUGCGAAAGCGUGGGGAGCAAACAGG
rnacentral:rRNA from 1 species